AUCUCAUGGUUAGGUCACUUCAAGAGAUUCUCCUUGAAUCUUCACCAAGCUUCAUACCACGGUUCUUCAUGGAAUUGGUAAAAAUUAACAAUUUCAUCCUGAAGUU
rnacentral:snoRNA from 1 species